rnacentral:misc_RNA from 1 species
UCACCCAAUUUUGGUGCCCCUUCACUUCCGCGAGCUUCGUAUGAGGAACAUUGUUAUACCAUAUCUUGUCCCUGCUCUUAGGCCAUUCGAUGGAAUGCCGGUACCCGUUCGGGAGCGGAACAAGGCACGACGGGCUCUCCUCAGGGCAAUGCCGCUCCCGAUGCUCAUAAUGCUUGAUGUGGAUUUGCUUGAUGGCCUUCUCAUUGUCGAGGCAAGGGAGCGG